UGCGAGACAAACGUAAAGACAUGCAACCAGAAAAAUGGAUCCGGAUGGGAUCGCUUAACAGCCAGGGGUGGGCGGAAUCAAUUUUGUGUAGCACUGUAAUUGGAUUACACCGUAUCGGAUUCCAUCCCAACUCAAGCAAACACCAGUAACGGUUGUGCAUGGCGCUGUAAUCAGGUCCCGGCUAAAAAGUCGUGAAACAAACACCUCCUUUGAAGUACCACGUAUAUUUUUUUAUAGAAAAAACGGACCCAAAAACCUAACAUAUUCGACUAAUCAGGA
rnacentral:lncRNA from 1 species